CGACGGCAGCGGCCCCGCCCAGAGCCCGGAUCCCUGCGCAGGGUGCGCGGUCUCCAGGACCCGCAAGGCCACCUCCGCAUGGCAGACGCGCACUCUCAGUCCCCUGCCGAGGCUAGACCUCGCCGUUCCUCUUCCCCUUGCCGGCCGAGAGCGAGACGUGGACAGGCGCCGCGUAGAUCCGGGGGAGGCUCCCAAAUUGUUACCAGUCUUCUGGCUGAGCCCCUGCCCCCUCCCUGCCGCCCCGCGGCGGGACGAGCACCCCUUUUCCCUGGCCCCUCUUCCAGCCCUGAGUGCUGUACAAGGCAGGCACGCAGCCCGCGGGCAGAGCUGGGGACAGGCCUCCACUGGUCCCGGGAUGAGCGACGGAGUUUGGUUUUAGUUUGGAGUUUUUCGGGCGUGCUGCACCGCCUUCCCCGGCUUACCCCUCGGUGCUUUGAUGUCUUAGGGUGGAGCCCGUCUCCGAAGGCUAGGAUGCCUGGUCUGGGCCUGUGGGCUGCGGUCUUGCCUCUGCCUGCUGGCCUUUGUCGUCUCCUUUCACGCAGGCCAGACCCAAACGCACACUAGCUUCCCAGGCCUCACCUUCCCAGCCUUACUCUCACAGGCUUUUCUGCUCCGCUCCCACCUCCCAGUAUCUUCUUGCAUUAGGGAUCCCGUAUGACUGCCAGGGAAUGUCAGGGUGAGCCCCAUUCAGUUUUACAGGUGAAGCCCUAGAGCUGGCUCGUAAGAAAAGCCAGAAUAACGUUAGAACCCUGUCUCCCAACUCCCACUCCAGCGCUGUUUACAUUAAGGCAGUGGUGUUCCCUGGGAUCCUGGCUCAGGAGUUACCCUCUAAAAGAGGGUUUCCAGGCCAAAUGGGUUUGUCAAAGGUGCUAUCCCUCCUUCUUGGAAAGUCGCUAGCAUAUCAAAGGCUCUGAGAAGUCCUGCUGUAAAACAAGACAGAGUAAUAACUGUUUACUGCCCCUGGGCCUGGAUCAGAUUUUGCCACCUAAGGUUCCCCCACAUUCCGGGUUCUCAUUUCUUCCUAAGGGGCCCAACCCAUUGGCUAUGGUCUUUUUGAAAAUCUGGGGUGCUCCCUCUUUCCCAGGGACUUUCUCUAGUAGAGGGAGGGCCCAUUCCCUGAGGGAAAAUAGCUGCUCCUGACACGCCAGAGAGAGGCCUGGGAACUGGUGGAUUUGAACAUUCCUUUACAUUCUUCGGGAAAUGAAGCCAAAGUUAUCCAGAUGGUUUCCCAGUCAAAGGAACGACACCUGUAAGAGAUCCUGGCAUUGACUGCGACAGCGGUCACACUCACCAAUGAGAGAAGAAAGCUCUCUUGAGCUGGGGUGAACAGCUGGCCCAGCCUCUGUAAGGAUUCCGUGUUGCAGGGGCCGUGGAGAUUCCCAGGGCCUGCUUCCCUGGAUGGGCAAUACCAUUCUGGCCUGGGUUUCGCAGCCAGGAGAAGGAAGGACCUCUGGCCAGCAGCUUCCCAUCAACAUCAUCCAAUGCAAGAGCCAAGAUAUGUGAAGAUUCGUUUUGCCUCAACAUAAGAAAAUCCUGAUUCUCCUUGUGCUGUGACUUGGGCACAAGAUUCCAAAUACCUGGAACUGAGCCGUGUGCCUGUGUACCCUAAACGACGGGUUUUGGCUCCAGCUUGUGUUCCUUUUCUCUUUUCUUAGACCACCAUCUAAGCUGCGUCUCAGCUCAGAUCCAGGCCCCCGAGGAUGUCUUCUUAGUGCCCCCAGCCCAUGGUGCUCUGUCUGUGGUCAAGUGAUUUUACUCAGGAGCAGAUUUCUCCUUGGCCUUCAUGGUACCUUAUGCAUCCAGAUGUGCCUAGAACAUUCCAGUGCUCACGGGCUCUUCUAGAUGUGCCUUCUGCUUGGCCUCCAGCUGCUUCUCCAGAUGUGAGAAGGAUGUGUAAGAUGGCCCCACACCCAUCCCCUCCUCGCCCUUGAGGCCCUGUGCCUUACUAAUGGCCACCUGACCUGGCCCAGGACGUUAGAAUACUGGAGGCAGUCUCCUUGGCCUCUCUCUCUGGACUCCAGCACUCAGUCUAGUCCAAGACCACUGUGGGCUGCUCCCCAGCCCACAGGCUAGGACCACUUCAGACUCAGGAGAGGAUUUUUCCAGCGUUCUACAAAGGCCAAAAAAGGGUGGGAGUGGGAGGGGGGAGGGCCGGUACGGAGAGGGGACCGACGUGCCUCAUUUAAGAGUUCAGUGGUGAUUACUAAUACGCUUUUCUGAAUACAGUGUGGUUUGUCUGA